rnacentral:rRNA from 1 species
UACGUAGGGUGCAAGCGUUAAUCGGAAUUACUGGGCGUAAAGCGUGCGCAGGCGGCUUUGCAAGACAGAUGUGAAAUCCCCGGGCUCAACCUGGGAACUGCAUUUGUGACUGCAUGGCUAGAGUGCGGCAGAGGGGGGAUGGAAUUCCGCGUGUAGCAGUGAAAUGCGUAGAUAUGCGGAGGAACACCGAUGGCGAAGGCAAUCCCCUGGGCCUGCACUGACGCUCAUGCACGAAAGCGUGGGGAGCAAACAGG